GGGUGAGGGGAGCUAGGUAGAAAGCCAGAGGCAUAUGUGGUUUUCACCUUCCUCCCAG
ensembl:miRNA Mir6986 microRNA 6986